AAUUAUAAUGCUACAUCCGCCUCUGAUUGCCACUUGUUGCAAAGACUAUGGAAAGUCUCCUGCGUAUUAAGUUAAAGAACAAGAGUGGCAAACUGUUUUAGACAAUCAAAUAUGGGAAUUAGAGGAAACGGCAAUAGAUCUUUUUUCGUCAUUUUGUACUUGAGCUACGACGAUUUAGCCCCCAUCUUGAAGCGUUGUUUCUCAGAUUGUGUCAUUUUUCCUAAAGAUACGGUCAUAAAUAAGAAGAGGUUGAUCAGAAUUUGGAUGGCACAAGGUUAUCUCAGCUAGUUGAAAAUAACCAACAGGAAGCAAAAGGACGUGAGUAUUGCAUGAACUUAGCUAUGCGCUCUUUCUUUCACGAGUUGAAGACAAACGACAAAAAUUCAAGUGUGAUAAUAUCUUGCAAAGUUCAUGAUGUAGUGCAAAAAGACGUGAGUUUAAGUCUUCUUUUGUUCACUUUGUUUAAUUUCCUUUUCAUUUUGCACCA